GUGUCAUACGUGUGAGGGAGAGAAGUUCUGCCCUCCUGGUAAAGACAGAAGAAGCCCUUAGGUCUAAUAAUACAUGGACAGUUAUGGUAUUGCCAACUGCUUUGUGCAUCUAACCACUGUUGAAC